AGAGGAUAUUGAAUGCUCACAACACAAAUAAAUGAUACAUGUUUGAGCAGAUGGAUAUGCUAAUGACCCUGAUUUGAUCACUAUACAUGAUUGGUG